rnacentral:rRNA from 1 species
GACGAACGCUGGCGGCGUGCUUAACACAUGCAAGUCGAACGGAAAGGCCCUGCUUUUGUGGGGUGCUCGAGUGGCGAACGGGUGAGUAACACGUGAGUAACCUGCCCUUGACUUUGGGAUAACUUCAGGAAACUGGGGCUAAUACCGGAUAGGAGCUCCUGCUGCAUGGUGGGGGUUGGAAAGUUUCGGCGGUUGGGGAUGGACUCGCGGCUUAUCAGCUUGUUGGUGGGGUAGUGGCUUACCAAGGCUUUGACGGGUAGCCGGCCUGAGAGGGUGACCGGCCACAGUGGGAGUGGGAUACGGCACAGACUCCUACGGGAGGCAGCAGUGGGGAAUAUUGCACAAGGGGCGGAAGCCUGAUGCAGCAACGCCGCGUGGGGGAGGACGGCCUUCGGGUUGUAAACCGCUUUCGCCUGGGACGAAGCGUGAGUGACGGUAAUGGGUAAAGAAGCACCGGCUAACUACGUG